AUGAUUAAUCUGAAAGAGACCAUGUUAUUCUUGACCACGACACAACCCAGCACGGACCCUCAGCCCUACAAGGAGGACCCCAGCCGGAACGACUCCAACUGCUGUCUGAGCAGCUGGCUGAGGGUCUCUGCCGCCUUCUGGCACAGCCCCUGCAAUCACUUCUGCUGCCAAGUCCAGUUCCACGGGCUCAGGGACAAGGAUGAGUGGGAGCAGGACUGGCCCAAACCUGUCACCCAAAACAUCAGUGCCGAGGCCUGCGGCAGAGCAGACUGUGGCUUCACCUCAGUGUCCUAUCAGCAAGGGGUCCUGUCUGCCACCAUCUUCUACGAGAUCCUGCUGGGGAAGGCCACCCUGUAUGCUGUGCUGGUCAGCAUCCUGGUGCUGAUGGCCAUGGUUAAGAAAAAGGAUUCCAGAGACCAUCUCCAAAAGUGCAUCCUGAGUCAUUCUUUAUCCUCACCUUGGAUUCUCCUAAACGCGUUUCCCAUCUGUGUUCCUCAAGAGUUUCUCUCUCUCCACCUCUUAUCUCCUUCUUACACAGAUAUCUGUCCUUCUCUCAGCUUCCCUGCAGACUGA